GCGGCGGCCAUGAUGGCGGCGGGGCUGUCGCGGGGGGCGUCCGCGGGGCCGCUGCUGCUGCGGCGGGGGCUGCGGCUCUCGGCCCCGCGGGAAACGGCCAUCGUGGAGCGCUGGUGGAAGGUUCCUCUGAGCAAGAAGGGGCGUGAGCCUCGGAUCGGGCACCCCCGGUACCGGGUCUACCGCUUGGUCGAGGACCUCAAGCACAGCCCCCAGCAGCCCCUCCAGCUCAUCCUCACCCAGCCAGUGGAAGACGUGGGGAACCGCGGCGAGACCGUCUCCGUCCACAAAUCCUUUGGCCGCAACCACCUCCUGUUCCGAAACCGGGCUGUUUACGCCUCUCCCGAGAACAGGAAGCUUUUUGAGGAGGAAAACCGAUUACGUCAAGAAGGGAAGUUGCCGAGGUUGCAAAGCCACAGCGGGAUGAAGACUCUCCGGUUCCUGAGGAAUUGCACCCUUGAGAUCGGCGUGAAUGAGGGCAACCAGUGGGAGCUGACUAAAGAAAUUGUCAGCCGCCAUUUCCUCCGAAAUCUGGGGGUUAUGGUGCCCCCCCACACUCUGACUCUCCCAGAAGACCCCAUCACAAAAUUGGGCAGCUACUGGUGCGAAGUUACGGUGAACGGGCUCGACACCGUCCGCGUCCCCCUCUCAGUGCAGCAGGUUGCCGAACCGAAAUCAAGCAGCCAUCGGCUGUGGCUCGCCCAGAAGGAACCAGACGCCGACCACGAGGGCGAAGCGGAAAGCCCUUGAUCUCCCCGCGGAAAAGGCCGGGGCGCUUCCCUUCUCCCGGCAGCUCUGAAAAGGGAGCCCGUCAUCGGCUUAGGAUUUUUCUCACCGAAAGCCCCUCUUGGGGGUUCCUUGAACUGGGCAUGGUGGGUGAAGCAGGCCGCUUUUCUUGUCUCUUAAAGCCUCGGGCAGGUGGUCUCUCGGGAUGAGAGAGGAGUCUACAGU